AUAUUUACUAGUAGAAAUAAGUCGGAUUUUUAUGUUCAGCGCAACAUAAAUUACCCCUACCUUCCCCUUCCGACAAUUCGCGGGCACAGCUAUAAUCGGGGGGAGGAGCAAACCCUCGAGCUCUCAAGGAUUCGUUCACUUAUCGCAGUUUCUUCAUCGCCGCGGCUAUUUUCAAAACCCUAAUAAAAAAUGUCGGGAGGCUUCUUUCGUGGGACCUCGGCGGAUCAGGAUACUCGGUUCUCCAACAAGCAGGCGAAGCUUCUCAAGUCGCAGAAGUUCGCGCCGGAGCUUGAUCACCUGGUUGAUAUGACGAAGGUGAAGAUGGACGUCAUCAGGCCCUGGAUCGCGACUAGGGCUACUGAGCUUCUUGGGUUUGAGGACGAAGUCCUCAUCAACUUCGUUUAUGGUCUUUUGGAUUGCAAGGAGGCUGAUGGUAAGAAGAUUCAGAUCCAGCUGACUGGAUUUAUGGAAAAGAAUACUGGCAAGUUCAUGAAGGAUCUGUGGACUCUUUUGCUUAGUGCUCAGAACAAUGUCAGCGGUGUUCCCCAGCAGUUCUUAGAUGCCAAGGAAGAAGAGCAAAGGAAGAAGAAGGAGGAAAAUGAUAGGAUUUCUCUAGAAAUCCAAAAAAGAAAAGAGAAAGCAGGUAGAGAACCUGAAAGAGAAAAGCUUGCUAGGAUGGACGAUGAGGAUAGCGAGCCAAAGUCUCAUAAAGCUGGUCCUGACUUGGUUUCAAGGCUGUGGGCUUCUAGCGGUCAACCUGAAGAAGAGAGAAAAGAGGAUGUAAAUCAUAGUCAUAAAACAAGGAAUGGGCAUUCUAUUUCUCCAUACCGAAGCAGUCCUUUCCCUCCAUCUCAGCGAAGCUCACCUUCAGCUGCUAGGUCAAGUGGCAGGGAAGGACGUAAAUCAAGGAGUGCUUCUGUGUAUUCUCAGUCUCCAAGGCAUUCAGUUUCUCCUAAGAGGCGAAUUCACUCACCUGUUAGACGGUCUCCCACUCCUGUUAGGCAUUAUAGGUCUCCACAUCGACAUCCAACUUCUCGAUCUCCUGUUAGAAGAAGAUCGCCCCAUUCUAGGCGAAGAUCAAUUUCACGAUCACGGGAUAGAUAUCCUUCUUCAUAUCAUCAUAGAUCUCAUGCACAGAGAAAAUCACCAUAUAUGUAUCAUAGGUCUCCUUCUCCAUUACGGAGGAGGUCUCCUUCUCCUGUGCGCCGUAGGUCCCCUCCAUUACGUCGAAGAUCCCCAUCGCCAGUACAUCAUAGGUCUCGUUCUCCACCACGUCGCAGAUCACCAAUACAUUCUCGCAGGUCUCCCUUUCGCCAUCGGUCUCCCUUUCGCCAUCGAUCUCCUGCUUGGCAUGGGUCCCUUUCUCCGGCAAGAUAUGAAUCUUUCUCUCCUAUCAAGAGAAGAUCACCCCUCCCUUUAUCUUCCAAAUACAGAAAGCAGUCACCUCCUCGAUCACCUGUGAGGCGGCAUGCUGAUUCUUAUAAUUCCCCAAGACAGAGGAAUAGGAGCCCUAGUCCGCGGAGAAGUGAAAGCCCAUUGAAUCUUAGGAGCUUGCAUAAAGUGCAUGACAACUUUGCUGAAAGGGAUAAAUCUGGAAGAGCUUAUGAUGAAAGGUCACCAUUCAAUCCCAUCUUUCACUUAUCUUUCAGAACACAAAGGAGGUUGCCAGCUCAUCAUAACAUUGUGAAAGAGCCAGCCAAUUAUGUUAGUUCAGAUAAGUCUCCCGGCCAUUCUAAGUUUCAGGCAGCUAAGAGGAUUAGUUCACCAAAAAAUAGCAGGUCUAUAAGUCCAUCCAGAAGUCCAGUUGUGCGGAGAGGGGGGAGUAUACCUCGUCAUGAAAGUUCUGAAACAAGCAGGGAAGAGGAAAUAACCCCUCGUGCAAGGGAUGUGGCGCAUCAUAAAAAUGAUAUUUCACGCAAGCAAAGCACAUAUUCACCUUUAGACAUUGAAAAUUCAUAUGCGAAUGACCACAAUGUUGAUAUAUUAUCCCCAGACAGAUCGGCCGUUGCUCAAAUCCCAGCUACACGUCAUCUUGUGAAAUCAGAGAUUAAACAGAAUGACAUGGGGGACAGACAAAGGGGAAAUUCUCAACAUUCUUUGCAAUCACAACAGGAUGUAGAAUAUGGUCCUGGAGGAACAAGAGGAGGAAGAAAUCGGUUGGAAGAUUUUAAACUGUUUUCAGGAGAUAAAUCUCUUGAAGGGAGGGAAAAUAAGGGACAUGCAAUUAGCAGUGAUGCUCGCGAUAGUGUUGGUAAUGUGCGGUCUAUAUCAAAGGCUACUGAGUAUGAAGAAACAUGUAAUGUGAGAGAACAUGGCAAAAGGUCUAAGAGAAAGUUUGAUAAAGAUCAUUUGAAUUCUAAAUAUUCAGAUUCUGAUGAUUCUCAGAACAUUGAAAAACAACUUAAGAUAUCUGACAGUUUUAAGCGAAAUAUCAGUGAAAGUUCUGAGCAUGAUUCACAAAUAGAUGAUAAGAAGGAAGUUAAAAGGAGGAGAAAGGAGGAGAAAAGGCUGCGUAAGGAAGAGAAGCGUCGAAUGCGGGAAGAGAGGCGUCGAAGAAAGUCUGAGCGUCGUGCAGCCAGACAAAAAGUUAGAACUAUUGAUGAUUUAAGCCCCUCUUCAGAUUUUGAGAAACAUCUUAGUGAAGCUGAUGAUUCAGAUCAUGUUGCUUAUCAGAGGAAGAGUUCUUAUACAAGCAAUGCAAAGGAGGCAGAAUCUGAGCAGAAGAGGCUGGAGAUUGAGCUGCGAAAGAAGGCCCUUGAAUCUCUUAGGGCAAAGAAAGCUAUCAAUGAUUAGAUUUAUUAUUUUUAGGACAUUUUGCUUGCCUUUAAUGUUAUGCAGAUAUAUUUCUUAUGUUUUAUCUGUAUUCAUCUUAAAGUUCUUAUGACAGUGGCAUCCAUUAGUUGGAGUGCCUCUUUUUCCUUUCGACUGUUUGAUAUGCUCUGUGUUUACUCUGGCAGCUAUGUGGAUAACUGGAGUUUCCUGUGGUAGAUAGUUCAAUAUAUCUGCAAAUCUUGCUGUUAGAUUUUCUGAUGAGAGUACUGUCAAGUAGGACUCCGUAAAGCUGGUCAUGAGCACAAACACACUUUUGAAUAUCAGCUCAGGCAGCUCAAAGCUCAAUGUGGAGAUCUAUUGUUUAAAUUUACUUCUGGUUGAUAUAAGCUCGGUAUCAUCCAUAGUCUAAAGAAUUUUUGAGCUGUUUAAAUGAAGGUUGGAUAAAUUAUUGUCUACGGACAUCGAAUGGUCGGAGGUCAACAAGAAGGCGCCAUGCAUUUUUUUGCUUGGUACCAAAAGGUGUUGGGUACCGUUGGGUAUCGGAUAUUGUGGCGCGUUCUGAUUUGCCUUCGGAUCGUCUAGUGUCCGCACUGAAUAAUUUCUCCUCGGGCUGUAUUUGUUAGUGCUUAGACUCUUGCAUUUUCUAUAAAAGUUCAUUAAUUUAAGUUCUA